rnacentral:rRNA from 1 species
AACGAACGCUGGCGGCAGGCUUAACACAUGCAAGUCGAACGCCCCGCAAGGGGAGUGGCAGACGGGUGAGUAACGCGUGGGAAUCUACCCAGUUCUACGGAACAACAGCUGGAAACGACUGCUAAUACCGUAUACGCCCCAAGGGGGAAAGAUUUAUCGGAAUUGGAUGAGCCCGCGUAAGAUUAGCUAGUUGGUGGGGUAAUGGCCUACCAAGGCGACGAUCUUUAGCUGGUCUGAGAGGAUGAUCAGCCACACUGGGACUGAGACACGGCCCAGACUCCUACGGGAGGCAGCAGUGGGGAAUAUUGGACAAUGGGCGAGAGCCUGAUCCAGCCAUGCCGCGUGAGUGAUGAAGGCCUUAGGGUUGUAAAGCUCUUUCACCGGAGAAGAUAAUGACGGUAUCCGGAGAAGAAGCCCCGGCUAACUUCGUGCCAGCCGCCGCUGUAAAAC